GUGCACGCUGGCGGUAGGCCUAACACCUGCCCGUCGAACGGCAGCACAGUAAGAGCUUGCUCUUACGGGUGGCGAGUGGCGGACGGGUGAGGAAUACAUCGGAAUCUACUUUUUCGUGGGGGAUAACGUAGGGAAACUUACGCUAAUACCGCAUACGACCUACGGGUGAAAGCAGGGGAUCUUCGGACCUUGCGCGAUUGAAUGAGCCGAUGUCGGAUUAGCUAGUUGGCGGGGUAAAGGCCCACCAAGGCGACGAUCCGUAGCUGGUCUGAGAGGAUGAUCAGCCACACUGGAACUGAGACACGGUCCAGACUCCUACGGGAGGCAGCAGUGGGGAAUAUUGGGCAAUGGGCGCAAGCCUGAUCCAGCCAUACCGCGUGGGUGAAGAAGGCCUUCGGGUUGUAAAGCCCUUUUGUUGGGAAAGAAAAGCAGCAGGUUAAUACCCCGCUGUUCUGACGGUACCCAAAGAAUAAGCACCGGCUAACUUCGUG
rnacentral:rRNA from 1 species